rnacentral:rRNA from 1 species
AGCAGCCGCGGUAAUUCCAGCUCCAAUAGCGUAUAUUAAAGUUGUUGCAGUUAAAAAGCUCGUAGUUGAAUUUCGGGGUUAGUAGGUUGGUCAUGCCUCUGGUAUGUACUGAUCUCACUGAUUCCUCCCUCUUGACGAACUGUAAUGUCAUUAAUUUGGUGUUGCAGGAAAUCAGGACUGUUACUUUGAAAAAAUUGAGUGUUUAAAGCAGGCUUAGGCUUGAAUACAUUAGCAUGGAAUAAUGAAAUAGGACGUUUGAACCUAUUUUGUUGGUUUCUAGGAUCGACGUAAUGAUUAAUAGGGAUAGUUGGGGGCAUUAGUAUUCAAUUGUCAGAGGUGAAAUUCUUGGAUUUAUUGAAGACUAACUACUGCGAAAGCAUUUGCCAAGGAUGUUUUCAUUAAUCAAGAACGAAAGUUAGGGGAUCGAAGACGAUCAGAUACCGUCGUAGUCUUAACCAUAAACUAUGCCGACUAGGGAUCGGAUGAUGUUAAUUUUUUAAUGACUCAUUCGGCGCCUUAA